rnacentral:lncRNA from 1 species
CCUUUUGUUCUCUCCUGGAGCUGGGACACUCUUCAUCUCCUGAACUUUGGACAUUAGAAUUCCAUUCUCCCUGGCCUUGAGACUCUGAGACUUACACAAGCAGCCCCACCCAGGUUCUCAGGCCUUCGGACUCACAUUGAGAAUUACACCAUCAGCUUCCCUGGUUCUGAUUCUUUAGAACUUGGACUGAGCCACGCUACUAUCAUCCCAGGGUCUCCAGCUUACAAGUGUCCUGCCAUGGGACUUCUCAGCCUCCAUAAUCAUAUAGAUGAUACCAAAGCGGCCAACGAGUUUAAAACUCUUUUUGCGCAGUAGGAAUGACUCCAUGAAGAUUUCUCAUCAUGGAGCCCAGACUAGAUGGACCCAAAUCUCCAG